rnacentral:ncRNA from 2 species
GGGAAGCCGGUGCAAUUCCGGCGCUGACCCGCAACCGUGAAGCCACCCCGUGGCCAGCCGGACC